UACGGGGGGGGGCAAGCGUUGUUCGGAAUUACUGGGCGUAAAGGGCGCGUAGGCGGUCGGAUAAGCGUGCGGUGAAAGCCCGGGGCUCAACCCCGGGUCGGCCGUGCGGACUGUUCGACUGGAGCACUGUAGAGGCAGGUGGAAUUCCGGGUGUAGCGGUGGAAUGCGUAGAGAUCCGGAAGAACACCGGUGGCGAAGGCGGCCUGCUGGGCAGUUGCUGACGCUGAGGCGCGACAGCGUGGGGAGCAAACAGG
rnacentral:rRNA from 1 species